UGGUUCUUCAAACGCUGGUUAACUUAAUCCCGAUCUGCACAUGAUUUUGAGAUUUCAGUCUGCAAAUCUUCACCAUCUAGCACCCUAAUAUUUUUAACUUUCAUCCAGAAUA